rnacentral:rRNA from 1 species
CCUACGGGGUGCAGCAGUCGAGAAUCAUUCACAAUGGGGGAAACCCUGAUGGUGCGACGCCGCGUGGGGGAAUGAAGGUCUUCGGAUUGUAAACCCCUGUCAUGUGGGAGCAAAUUAAAAAGAUAGUACCACAAGAGGAAGAGACGGCUAACUCUGUGCCAGCAGCCGCGGUAAUACAGAGGUCUCAAGCGUUGUUCGGAAUCACUGGGCGUAAAGCGUGCGUAGGCUGUUUCGUAAGUCGUGUGUGAAAGGCGCGGGCUCAACCCGCGGACGGCACAUGAUACUGCGAGACUAGAGUAAGGGAGGGGGAACCGGAAUUCUCGGUGUAGCAGUGAAAUGCGUAGAUAUCGAGAGGAACACUCGUGGCGAAGGCGGGUUCCUGGACAGUAACUGACGCUGAGGCACGAAGGCCAGGGGAGCGAAAGGGAUUAGAUACCCGAGUAGUC